UUACCUUUACGCCGUUAUGGUUCCUGCCCGGUAUGCCGGACAGGAUGAAAAGGGAAUCCGGUGAAAAUCCGGAACAGUACUCGCUGCUGUAAGUCCCCUCCUUCGGGAGAAGUUGUUUAUCGUACUCUUUGCCACUGGUUUAAACUGGGAAGGCGCGAUAAACGGGACGAGUCAGAAGACCUGCCUUAACGAUUGAUUUGCAC
rnacentral:ncRNA from 14 species